rnacentral:rRNA from 1 species
UACGAAGGGGGCUAGCGUUGUUCGGAAUUACUGGGCGUAAAGCGCGUGUAGGCGGGUCUUUAAGUCAGGGGUGAAAUGCCAAGGCUCAACCUUGGAACUGCCUUUGAUACUGGAGACCUUGAGUCCGGGAGAGGUGAGUGGAAUUGCGAGUGUAGAGGUGAAAUGCGUAGAUAUCGGAAGGAACACCAGUGGCGAAAGGCGGCUCACUGGCCCAUUACUGACGCUGAGCACGAAAGCGUGGGGAGCAAACAGG